GUCCCGGUCCCAUCACGGCUCCGUCACGCCCUGGCUGUGUCCCAGCCCGGCCACGUCACGGUCCCGGCUGCCCCAGGGCUGGGGGGGGGUUGGGGCUAAUUAGGGGCUCGUUAGCACUCGGGGGCUCGUUAGGCAGCGGGAGCCCAGCCCGGGGAGGGGAACAGCAGCGCCGCUGCCAAAUGGCUGCCCCACGUGACGGCGGCCAUUUUAGGGUUGAGCUAACGAAGGCGACUCGUUAGGGGCCCCCCGUGGGGGGGGGUCCGGUGUGCAGAGCACACGGGUGUGCGUGUGACUGGGGAGCCGUGCGCGAGUCACACGGGUCCGUGGGCGAGGCGUGACGGGCCACACGCGUGGUGCAGGGUGGGGCCGGGGGCGAGUCACGCAGCUCUGGAAGCCGCGAAGGGCCGUGUGCAAGGCGUGAGGGCCCGUGUGCGAGGAGUGAGGGCCCGUGUGCGAGGCGUGAAGGUCCGUGUGCGAGGAGUGAGGGCCCGUGUGCGAGGCGUGAAGGUCCGUGUGCGAGGAGUGAGGGCCCGUGUGCGAGGCGUGAGGGUCCGUGUGUGUUGUGAGGGUCCGGGUGCGAGGCACAAAGGUCCGUGGGGCGCACGGGGUCCGUGUCGGAAGCGUGCAGGUCCAUGUGUGAGGGUCCAUGUGCGAUCCGUGGGUCACAGGUCCAUGUGUGAGGCGUGAGGGCCCAUGUACGCGGGUCCGUGAGUGAGACACGGAGGCCCGUGGGUCGCAGGGGUCCGUGUGCGAGGCGUGCAGGUCCGUGUGCAAGCUGUGGGUCACAGGCAUCCAUGUGUGAGGCAUGUGCAAAGCAUGAAAGUCCACAUGCAAGGCAUGAAGGUCCGUGGGGGGGGGUCUCACAGAUCCGUGUGUGAGGGUCCGUGUGUGAGGCGUGUGAGUCCACAUACGAGAGUCCAUGUGCGAUCCGUGGGUCACGGAUUCGUAUGCGAGGGUCCAUGUGCGAUCUGUGGGUCACAGGUCCAUGUGUGAGGCAUGAAUGCCUGUGUAUGAUGGUCCGUGUGCGAUCCGUGGGUCAUAGAUCCGUGUGCGAGGGUCCGUGUGUGAUCCGUGGGUCAUGGAUCCGUGUGCGAAGGUCUGUGUGUGAUCCGUGGGUCACGGGUCUGCAUGCGAGGCGUGACGGCACGUGGGUCGCACGAAUCCGUGCACGAGGCUUCGGCGAGGCGCGCGUCCAGGUUGGCCCUACGGACACGGAAACCCGCGGCCGCACAAACACCCCUUUUUGCGGCUUUUCGCAGUAUUUAACCCUUCCCCUGCCGCCCGGCUCCGGGGCCCUGCUGCGGCGCAGCGAAUCGGGGCGGCUUUUGAGCAGGGUUUUGCCGCAUUCGCGCACCCGCCCCCAGCACCGCCGCAGCACCGCGCUGCAGAAACCCCAGUUCCUGCGGGGCGUUUUUAAGGAGGAAAAGCAAGGACUAUUUUGUUUUCCGGGCCGGCCUCGCCCCGCGCGGAAGCAGCCGGCGGCCGCAGCACCGCCGCAGUUAUAAGGCGCCGCAGGGCCGGAGCGGCCCAGAGCCGCAGGGAGCAGCCAGGGAGGCAGCGCAGGGGCUCGGCAGGGCCGGGGGCUGGCUAGCGUCUUCCGAGCAGAAACAGCCCCCCAAAAAAACAACUAAAAUACAAAUUAUAGCUUAAAAAAUCUUAAAAAAAGAAAUUAGACCUAACUAGGGUUCGCUCUUAAAAAAAAAAAAAAGGCGAUUAAAUGCCUUUAGCGGAGGAAAUGCGAAGAUUUUUAACGCGAAGAUUUAAAAAAAACAUGCGAGGCAAUUGGAAGAGAAGAGACGAAGGACGAAAGCGGGAGCCGCUAGGUUCGGGAGGGUGAGCAGAGGUUUGGGUAAAGGAUGGAAGGAAACGGGGCUUUUCACAAGCCUGCGCGAGGCAGAUUUUUUUAACCGUUGGAAGAGAGGAAGCCUCCCCAAAAAAAAAAAAAGCAGUUAAGAUAAAAUAUUAAAUUUUAUUUAA
ensembl:lncRNA